GGACUACUGGGGUUUCUAAUCCUGUUUGCUCCCCACGCUGUCGCGCAUCAGCGUCAGACAUGGCCCAGCAGGCCGCCUUCGCCACCGGUGUUCUUCCGGAUCUCUACGCAUUCCACCGCUACACCCGGAAUUCCACCUGCCUCUACCAUGCUCCAGCGCGAGAGUAUCGACGGCCGACCCGGGGUUGAGCCCCGAGCUUUCACCGUUGACUCCUCGCGCCGCCUACGCGCCCUUUACGCCCAGUGAUUCCGGACAACGCUCGCACCCUCCGUAUUACCGCGGCUGCUGGCAC
rnacentral:rRNA from 1 species